rnacentral:lncRNA from 1 species
AGUGCGUCGGCGCUGGGCUAUGGCCCCCUCCUCUCCGGGGGAUCGUCGCCUUGGUCCCCCGACCCUAGGAGUCGGGCAGGGCAGAACCAGGCUAAAGAAACGUCCAGCGUAGCUUCAAGGAUGCACCGCGUGAUCCCUAUCGGAUCUCCCCGACGCGUCAGGCCUGCCUAGACGGUGCUGGGAGCGCGUCUCCUUGAACGUUGUCCCGCCUGGGAUUGCGAGGAUAGAGACUUGCUCUGUUGCCCAGGCUGGAGUGCAGUGACACGACUUGGCUCACUGCAACCUCUGCCUCCUGGGUUCAAGCAAUUCUCCUGCCUCAGCCUCCCGAGUAGCUGAGAUUACAGGCAUGUGCCACCACACCUGGCUAAUUUUGUAUUUUUAGUGGAGACGGGGUUCCACCAUAUCGGCCAGGCUGGUCUUGAAUUCCUGACCUCAUGAUCCACCAGCCUCAGCCUCCCAAAGUGCUGGGAUUACAGGCGUGAAUGUAAUGAUUUUUAAAAAGAAAAACAUGGAUGUAAAGAAAGUAAAGCUUCGUUUUGAACAGUUAUGAUGGUAACAAAACUCAAAGGAGCAACUAAAGCAGUGCUGCAACCACUUUUGUCUGUCUUAGUAAUUCUGAUUAGUGUACAUUCCUCCCCCACCAACCAUUUUGAGAGAAAUUUGUCUGAAAACAUGAUUUAUGAAAUAAACAUAAGUGCUGAAAG